AACGGCCACGGUACCCUAACCGUGCGAAGGUAGCAUAAUCACUUGUUCUUUAAAUGGGGACUCGUAUCAACGGCAUCACGAGGGUUCUACUGUCUCCUCUCUCUAAUCAGUGAAACUAAUCUCCCCGUGAAGAAGCGAGGAUAAUACUAUAAGACGAGAAGACCCCAUGGAGCUUUAAACCCAAUUAUAUUCCUAACCCCCACAACCAUUUAAUCUCUUAGGCCCCAUAUACUUGGUUUUAGGUUGGGGCGACCACGGAGUAAAACCAAACCUCCAUGAUGUACGGAACAACCUCCUUAUCCAAGAGCCACAGCUCUAAGAAUUAGCACACUAUCAAAAAAUGACCCAUUAUUGAUCAACGAACCAAGUUACCCUGGGGAUAACAGCGCAAUCCAUUUUAAGAGCCCCUAUCGACAAAUGGGUUUACGACCUCGAUGUUGGAUCAGGAUAUCCCAGUGGUGCAGCAACUACUAAAGGUUCGUUUGUUCAACGAUCAAAA
rnacentral:rRNA from 1 species